rnacentral:rRNA from 1 species
AUUGAACGCUGGCGGCAGGCCUAACACAUGCAAGUCGAGCGAGCGGCGGACGGGUGAGUAAUGUAUGGGGAUCUGCCCGAUAGAGGGGGAUAACUACUCGAAAGAGUGGCUAAUACCGCAUACUAUUUGAGCAGCCGUUAUCGGAUUAGCUAGUUUGUGGGGUAAAGGCUCACAAAGGCAACGAUCCGUAGCUGGUUUGAGAGGACGACCCGCCACACUGGGACUGAGACACCGUCCAGACUCCUACGGGAGGCAGCAGUGGGGAAUUUUGGACAAUGGGGGAAACCCUGAGCCAGCCAUCCCGCGUGUAUGAGAAGGCCUUCGGGUUGUAAAGUACUUUUGGCAGAGAAGCGGUAUCUGCAGAAUAAGCACCGGCUAACUACGUGCCAGCCGCCGCGGUAAUAC